CAGCGGCCGGCUCUCCCCCGCCGCUAACGCUACUUAUCCCGGGAAAGCUCGAGCGGGCCCCGGGAGCGAACCCACAGACAAAAAGUGAAACUUCAGCAGCAGGCCGGGAGUGGCUGCUGGUUGGUGCUCUCCCCCUCCUUCCUCCCCACCCCCUCCCCGCGGUCUCCCGUGCGGUGCCCUGAGCGCUGGAGGCUGACGUCAGGGGCCUGAAUUCCUGACUUUGCCUGCACGCAUUUGUCCAUACGACAGAUUGGAAAGCUGAGCUUGAGCAAAGAGAUCCUGCCAUGGAACACCCCACCCCCCACCCUAAGAGCCUCGUCGGAGCCCCGCCCAGGACUCCAGCAGGACUCAGAAGUCCGGGAUGGUAGAGAGCAACUUCAGUUCCCUUCGCACAGGAGAGCUCCGAAGCUGGGACCUGACCCAGUCCUGCCCCGUGGAGAGGAGCCAGUAUUCUACUCUUAGCUGGGUUUCCGCCUCCAGGCACGACCCGGCCUCUAACUGUGAGCUUAGACCCAAGUUAGAGCUAGGCAGAUGACUUGACCCACUGAAGUGACUAACCCCAGUUCCUGGAAGGUUGUGGUUGACAAGCCUUGAGAAACAAUGGCAAUCGAGUGCUUCAGGGCAACUUCCUGUCCUUUGUUCAAAGACAAGAACCUUUGGAGUUUAACUUUUGCUUCCCAACCCUGCCCUGCCGGAAAACCAACCAGAAAGCUUGCUCUGUUCUUACAGCUUAAAAAAAGAAAAUACACGAACUGGGUGAACUGGUUUGAAUAAAGACAAGCCUGUUCUUGGAAGGUUGGGUUUGGAUAUUUUGUGUUUGAUAUUUGUAAAAGUGAGCAACGAUGAGAACCCCUUUUACUAGGUUAAGAUUCCGGCUAGGAGACACUGGAAGCCCUCUGGCCCUCAGUAGUGAACGCUUUUCAUCCCGGCACAAGAGAGGUUUACAUAGACACUGUCACAAACUAACCAAAAACACAGAUUUGGGUGUGGGUGUGUGGGUGGGGGUGUGGGUGUUUCUAUCCUGUAUCCUUUGCUUU
rnacentral:lncRNA from 1 species